rnacentral:rRNA from 1 species
AUGUUGUCCAAGAAUCUGCAGAGGUACUGUCACAGUCCAACUUCACCUGCCAUCCGGAUGCAUGAUCUGCGAGAAAACGGCGCUCGGCGUCAGCCCGUCCGAGUCCACGCUCGCGAUGCUCCGUCCCGUCAUGCUCAUCGUGGUCGUGGUCGUCGUGGUGGUGCUUGCGUCCGUCGACGGCUCGUCCGACUGCAGUCUGGUCAUGACGAGAGGCGACGCGCCCGACGACGACAGUGUCCCCUCAGUGAGGCUGCCGGUGUCCUCCUCGCUCUCCUGCAGCUGGAGCGCGAACUCGAGGUUCCAGAGGACGUCGCCCAUGGACGGCCGGUCGACGCUGCGGUCGGCCACGCAUUUCUCCGCGGUGUCCGUGAACUUGAGGAAGCACUGGGGCGCGAUCUUCCCCUGGAGCACCGGGUCCAUGACCUGGCCGAGCACGCCUUGCUUCUGGCAGCGCAGCGCCCAGUCGGCGAGGCUGAUCUGCUCCUUGGGCAGCGAGGGGCUCAGCGCGGGGCGCGCGCAGAGCACCUCGAACAGCACGACGCCGAAGGAGUAGACGUCGGACUUCUCCGAGAGCUGCUGCCGCCGGAAGUACUCCGGGUCGAGGUACCCGAAGCUGCCCUUGACGACGGUGCUGACGUGGGUGGCGUCCAUGUUGGGCCCCGUCUUGGACAGCCCGAAGUCGGAGACCUUGGCGACCCACUUGUCGUCCAGCAGGAUGUUGGUGGUCUUGACGUCGCGGUGGAUGAUGGUGUGCUUCACGCCGGUGUGCAGGUAGUAGAGGCCCCGGGCGGCGCCGAUGCAGAUCUCGAGCCGCUUCUUCCACGACAGCGGCGGGUUCUUGGUGUUGUAGAGGUGCUCCCGGAGCGUGCCGUGGGCCAUGUAGUCGUACACCAGGAUCAUCUCGCUCUUGUCCUCGCAGUAGCCGAUGAGGGACACCAGGUGGCGGUGCCGGAGCUUGGACAGCAUCUCGAUCUCCGUCUGGAACUCGUGGACGCCCUGCUCGGACAUCGGGUUGCACCGCUUGAUCGCCACCUUGGUGCCACUGUCGAUCUCCCCGAGGUACACGUUCCCGAACCCACCUUUGCCGAGCAGGAAGGCCUGGUCGAAAUUCUUGGUGGCGGUCUGAAGCUCGGCGAAAGUGAAGUGGCGGCAGAGGUUGGAUGGCAGCGUCGACCCGGUUGUGGCCGUGUUUCCCGACAUAGCUGA